CCUACGGGAGGCAGCAGUGAGGAAUAUUGGUCAAUGGUCGGGAGACUGAACCAGCCAAGCCGCGUGAGGGAUGAAGGUACAGUGUAUCGUAAACCUCUUUUGUCAGGGAACAAAGGCGGGGACGUGUCCCCGGAUGAGUGUACCUGAAGAAAAAGCAUCGGCUAACUCCGUGCCAGCAGCCGCGGUAAUACGGAGGAUGCGAGCGUUAUCCGGAUUUAUUGGGUUUAAAGGGUGCGCAGGCGGUCUUUUAAGUCAGCGGUAAAAGCCCGGGGCUCAACCCCGGCCCGCCGUUGAAACUGGCAGUCUCGAGUUGGAGAGAAGUAUGCGGAAUGCGCGGUGUAGCGGUGAAAUGCAUAGAUAUCGCGCAGAACUCCGAUUGCGAAGGCAGCAUGCCGGUUCCACACUGACGCUGAGGCACGAAAGCGUGGGUAUCGAACAGGAUUAGAUACCCGUGUAGUC
rnacentral:rRNA from 1 species